AAGUCGAACGAAGCUGCUUUGAUGAAGUUUUCGGAUGGAUUUAAAACAGCUUAGUGGCGGACGGGUGAGUAACGCGUGGGUAACCUGCCUCACACUGGGGGAUAACAGUUAGAAAUAGCUGCUAAUACCGCAUAAGCGCACGGUUCCGCAUGGAACAGUGUGAAAAACUCCGGUGGUGUGAGAUGGACCCGCGUCUGAUUAGCCAGUUGGCGGGGUAACGGCCCACCAAAGCGACGAUCAGUAGCCGGCCUGAGAGGGUGAACGGCCACAUUGGGACUGAGACACGGCCCAAACUCCUACGGGAGGCAGCAGUGGGGAAUAUUGCACAAUGGGGGAAACCCUGAUGCAGUGACGCCGCGUGAGUGAAGAAGUAUUUCGGUAUGUAAAGCUCUAUCAGCAGGGAAGAAAGUGACGGUACCUGAAUAAGAAGCCCCGGCUAACUACGUGCCAGCAGCCGCGGUAAUACGUAGGGGGCAAGCGUUAUCCGGAUUUACUGGGUGUAAAGGGAGCGUAGACGGACUGGCAAGUCUGAUGUGAAAGGCGGGGGCUCAACCCCUGGACUGCAUUGGAAACUGUUAGUCUUGAGUGCCGGAGAGGUAAGCGGAAUUCCUAGUGUAGCGGUGAAAUGCGUAGAUAUUAGGAGGAA
rnacentral:rRNA from 1 species